rnacentral:rRNA from 1 species
AUUGAACGCUGGCGGAAUGCCUAACACAUGCAAGUCGAACGAGUUGUGUAGCAAUACAUGACUAGUGGCGGACGGGUGAGGAACACAUAGGAAUCUACCCUUGUAGUGGGGAAUAACCCGGGGAAACCCGGACUAAUGCCGCAUACGCACUAAGGUGGAAAGCGGGGGAGUCGUAAGACCUCGCGCUAUAGGAUGAGCCUAUGUCGGAUUAGCUAGUUGGUAGGGUAACGGCCUACCAAGGCGACGAUCCGUAGCUGGUCUGAGAGGACGGUCAGCCACACUGGAACUGAGACACGGUCCAGACUCCUACGGGAGGCAGCAGUGGGGAAUAUUGGACAAUGGGGGAAACCCGUGAUCCAGCAAUUCCGCGUGGGUGAAGAAGG